CGGGUGUGCUCAGAGCAAAGGGCUUAAAGAAUGACUCCUCUGUUUACAACACAUCAACAGAAGUCUGGAGCCACUGUGAUAAGAAGCAAAACUGUGGCUUUGCUGUGAGCAAAUAUCCUACACAG